AUUUGCUUACGGAAACCCCAGCAGUUACGGCCUUGCGACUCACCCUGGGAAGAGCCGGGCAGGAUGGAGGCGGUGGGCAGAAGGGCAUCUCCGCUGCAACUGUCCGGAAUGCAGCCUCAGCCCCGCUCCUCCGCCAGCCUCCGCCCGCAGCCACCCCCAAGAAACGCCUCCCUCGGGCGGGAAGCGAGGAAGGAAGGAAGGAAGGGGCGGUGGGACAGCCGAGCUCUCGCAAGAAACAGGGCCGGCGUGAGGAGAAGGGCUCAAGAAGCGGCGGUGCGAGGGCGCGGGCAAAGGGAGAGGAGCUGGGCUGCCGCGCGGCGUCCCCGCCCGCCUGGCUGCCCCUAGGGGUCCGGUCUGCCCCGUGAUCGGCGCCCGCCUGCCCGCGCUCACCAGAUGGGGAGAAGCGGCUGGCAAAGCCACCGGCCCGCCGGGGAGAGGCUGGCGGCGCCCGGCAGAGAAGGGUGGGGAGAAGCCCUGCCCCAGGGGCAGGGGGACGGCAGGCGGCAGCCCUCCUCGGCCGGGACCGAGGCGGAGGGGAAGGGAAGACGUCCGCUGUCCGCUGGGAGCGGGCGCGGAGGAGAGCCCUUGGCCCCAGCCCACGAUUGCGAACAAAGCCCGCGGCAGCGCCGGGGUCUGCGCCACGGAAGAAGUUUCCUCGGUUCCCGGCCGCUUCCCCCAAAAAGCAACCCCAGCCUUGGAAAAAAAAAAUUACAUAUCUAUAUAUAAAAAAAUAAAUAAAUGAAUCACAACCCAAGUA